GCCCGAAUAACCUUAUGGCUAAGGUGCUCGACUCACAUUCGUUCACUCCGGGGUUCGAGUCCCCAUGCGGACU
rnacentral:tRNA from 1 species